GAAAGAGGCGUUGAGAUGAUUGUUCAAAGCCCCCAAGGGCCGGCCCUGUGUGCGUGUACAUAAAUACAGGGCUUCCCUGGUGGUGCAGUGCUUAAAGAAUCCGCCUGCCAAUGCAGGGGACAUGGGUUCGAGCCCUGGUCUGGGAAGAUGCCACAUGCUGCAGAACAACUAAGCCCGCGUGCCACAACUACUGAGCCUGCGCUCUAGAGCCUGCAAGCCACAACUACUGAGCCCACAUGCCUAGAGCCCAUGCUCUGCAACAAGAGAAGCCACCACAAUGAGAAGCCCUCGCACCGCAACGAAGAGUAGCCCCCACUCGCCACAACUAGAGAAAGCCUGCACACAGCAAUGAAAACUCAAUGCAGACAAAAAUAAAUAAAUAAAUAAAAUAAAUACAUUUAUUUUUAAAAUUA